rnacentral:lncRNA from 1 species
CUUGGAGACUCUUUUCCCUACUUAAUUUAGUUGCAUGACUAGAAGUAAUGAGGAGCCUAAGUGAAUUGCAGAUUGGGGCUGAAAAAAAUAGUGCCCUAUCUUCAGAGUAAAUUAGUUUAAAAGUAAGGCCAUGCUUACAUCAGGAUCUCUCCAAUGAAAUAUUGGAAGAAGUCAGGGUUCCAGGGAAUGAAAUGACUUUGGACUCCUUGAAUCGUAAUUGAUUAGUGUAUAUGUGAUCCAUUUUAAGUGGUUCCAGCUAAGUACAAUCCUACUUAUAGAGGUUGUUCAUUUUAAUUUUUCCCUCGAUUAAAUCCCAUUGCCGUGUGAACCUCAUUAUUUCCCUGGACCAUCCUUCCAAUUGCUCCUUUACCUUAAAGAAGAAAUUGAGAUCCUUGUGAAGAUUGUUAGCUUGAAUCACAGUUGUUGUUUAAAGAGGACGGAUGUUGGGGAGAGGAAUGGUUACUGAUUCCCAGAUUUUUUAAAAAUGCAAUGCAAGGAGAAUUCUGAGGAGGGAAGCACAAUGUCUGGAUUCACUAUUUUCCCCUCUCCGGGUGGUGGCUUGAUGAUGAGAAGAUACAACCCUGUCAUCAUCACUCUCUUCUUAGGACUUGCAGCAGAAAGCACUCUUCUCAUUGUAAGCAAGCUUCAUGAAAAUUAGCCUGGAAGAAAGAAGACUGGCAAGAUAUCGGCCAUACUGUUGAAAUUGAACCCUGGGAAACAAAGAUAUGUACAUACCAAAGUCAAACUUUUACUAGGAAGGUUUGGAUUGUCAAGGCUCAGGUGUGAUAUUUCAGUCUUGGUCCUAUUUACUUAGGAUGCAAUUCAGAAGGUUAAAGUUGGCCCUGGGAGAUCCAAUAAAAAAUAUACCUGAGUCCAAAUUAAUCUAGAUCUACAAUUAUUACUUUUAAUUCAUUACUAUUAUGGAUAUAUAUAUAUGUUAGGAAUUAGCAGCAGAGUGAAUCAGUAUGAUAUUUUAAGGAUUAUGCUUUUAUGCUUUUAAAUUUUAGAUAAUACAUUUCCUAAUAUUAAUUUUAAAACACUCUCUUUGCCAUGCUGUUAAGAAUUCUACUUUUUUUUUUUUCAUUUUUAUCUUCCUAACUUCUUAUUGUGACAUUGUUGGCCAGAUCCUAAAUAAUUUUAGAUACAAGCAAAAGUUUCCUUGUAUGAGUGAAUAGAAUGCUAAGUCUCUUUGGAAGUAUAUUUAUACAUUUUAUUGUAAAGUUUAAUUUUGAUUGUGCAUUUGUGUUUGUGCUUUAGAUUUCAGGAUUAUGGUAGCUUUCCUACCCAAGUAUUGGCUGAAACAGCCAAUACCCUUCUUUAAAAAAUUUCUGUAAACAGGUUUCUACACAUUGCUAACAUGAAUAAACAACUUUCCUUCUACCUCCA